UUAAAUAGCUGUAAUAAACUACUGUUGCUAACAUAUUUAUUCCGGUCCAGGUUUAUAUAAGGCUAUUUAUUAAUAGAUUUUUCUUCUAACGUUUCUCUGGUAUAACGUUAGCGCUGCAUAAUAUGACCGUUCUAAAAGCUUGGCUUUUAUUUUGAUAGGCCAUAUUUACUAUUACUUCCGGGUCACGUGGCCAACCUGUCUGUAUUUCAAUGUAGAUCUUCAAACGAAAAAAUGGAAAAAGGAAUUUCAAAAAACCAAAAUCGGAACGUUAUUUGAUUUUGGUUUUGUCAUUUUUCGUUUUUAGAUUCAGAACCAAAAACGGGAGAACGGCUCUUUUUUGACCGUUUCUUUGAUUUUGGUUUGAAACGACAAACGAAAAACAGGUGGUUUCUCGUUAUUUUGUUUUGUGUUUCAAUCGAAAAAACAAACUAUCAAAACGUACACGGACCCGCCCCUAGCGUCACUUUUAUGACGCCAAAUGUGCCUCUCGGCGUCGACUAUCGAAGCACUACGACCUUCAUUGCUUUCAGUGGGAAACUUUUGGCGUCAGAAUUCGACACGAGGACAUGAGAUGUUUAUCGCUAUGAAAUCACGUUCAAGAAGUCUCAUUCAGCACACAUCGCGCGAUACUUGCUAUCAGUUCCACAGUUUGGCUGAAAAGACGUAAAGGCAGUCAGCCCAGUGGUGUUUCUGGAGAGGGAUUCCUUCAGAAAUGGAGAAGACAGAAAGCUGCGGAGGCAGAUAUUUGCAGCAGUCUAAAAUAUCGAGCUCAACAGCUAUUUUAAGAGCCAACCCUCACAAACCUUCCUAAAACCUAAAAGAGCUAUUACUGAGUCUCAGCGAAUCUUGCCAUGAUCAGCUCUUCCCAGAAGAGAAGGAAGACCAAGGAAAUUAUUUGCUCAGGAUGAGAAAUGAAGACGGCCAUCUUGUGCUCAAACAAACAGAAGUCCUCUGAUGAUCUCAUCAGCCAAAUGAGGGGUUUUGACCAAGUGAUGCUCUUGAAAGGAGUGAAAGAAGAGGAUGUGGUAAAUUCUCUUCAGAGAAAAAGCUUCUCAAAAGGUCUUAAAGCAGCUUGAAGAAUGGUCUGGGAUGUUAGGACUGAGAGAUCCUCUGGCUGAGAGAAGCUACACCACAUCAGUGCUGGAUAUCAACCACAAACAGUUUCCAGACACGAGAGAAGAAGAACACGAUGGGGAGAUGAAACCAGUUUAGAUGUGAUGAUAAGGAAUCAUUAUUUUCUGAAACAGUAUCACAUGUCUUAUAUGUAUCACAUGAUCUGUAUCACAGUUGACUGGAUGGGACUGUGUGACUUUUAAGGACAUUUCAUCACUCAUCCGUGGGAACUGAUUUAUAUAUGAGGUUAAUGUAUCUUUGAUGAUAAUUAUUUUCAUUGAAUCUUAUUUGUCUUGAUGCUACUUUAUCAACUUUAUAGUCUAUGCUUCAAUAAAAUGAAA